GACGAACGCUGGCGGCGUGCCUAAUACAUACAAGUCGAACGCAAAACUUUCACCGAAUGCUUGCAUUCACGAAAGUUUUGAGUGGCGGACGGGUGAGUAACACGUGGGUAACCUGCCCAGAAGUGGGGGAUAACAUUUGGAAACAGAUGCUAAUACCGCAUAAAAGUCAAAACCACAUGGUUUUGAUUUAAAAGAUGGCCUUUGUGCUAUCACUUCUGGAUGGACCCUCGGCGUAUUAGCUAGUUGGUAAGGUAACGGCUUACCAAGGCAAUGAUACGUAGCCGAACUGAGAGGUUGAUCGGCCACAAUGGGACUGAGACACGGCCCAUACUCCUACGGGAGGCAGCAGUAGGGAAUCUUCCACAAUGGGCGCAAGCCUGAUGGAGCAACACCGCGUGAGUGAAGAAGGGUUUCGGCUCGUAAAACUCUGUUGUUAAAGAAGAACGUAUCUAAGAGUAACUGCUUAGGUAGUGACGGUAUUUAACCAGAAAGCCACGGCUAACUACGUGCCAGCAGCAGCCGCGG
rnacentral:rRNA from 1 species